rnacentral:misc_RNA from 1 species
GAGUUCAUGCCCUUCGGGGUAGAUCUCCCACCCUUUGUAUACUAUACCUCUGUUGCUUUGGCGGGCCGCCUAGCUACUGGCUUCGGCUGGUAAGUGCCCGCCAGGGGACCCAAAACCCUGAAUAUUAGUGUCGUCUGAAUUAUUUUAAUAAUUACAACUUUCAACAACGGAUCUCUUGGUUCU